rnacentral:lncRNA from 1 species
ACGUGAUAAGUCACCAGCGUCCCCUUCUUCACCACCGUCCCGUCCGGCAAGACGUCGUCCUCCACUGCUUCCUUAGUGUCCAUGGGCACCGGCGGGUACAGCCUCAUGCUCUCGCAUAACGCUGCAUGCGUGUAAACCAUAUGCUUCACUUCAUCAUAGACCGGAGCCUCCGAUUUCUCCAUUAUCUCCUUCACAAUCUCCUGCUCCACUCGGGGGUACUUCGAUAGCAGCCAGAAAAACCAAGUCAGCGCUGCUGACGUGGUAUCCUUCCCCGCCAAUAUGAAGCUUAUGACUAUGUCCGUCACAAAGUCUUCAUCAGAAUGCCCCGAACUCAAGAACCGCGAAAGCAUGUCUACAGAUUCAAGGGAUUCCUUCUCCUUCAACUCCCUUUUCUUCUCUCUCACUAUGUUCUUCGCGAACUCGUGCACUUCCCUCACAGCCAUUCGCAACCGCUUUUCGGAACCUAUGUUCAGUGCCCUCUUCACUUUCCACACUAACGGAGACAGUUCGCGGAAUCGUUUGCUGCUUAUCUCAACCGCUUCUUCGUACGCCACCGCGAACUUGCUCCGUUCAGCUGACGACGUCAGGUACUCGGCGUCGAAGCCAAAGGCGAUUUUGCAGAUGUUAUCGAAGGCGAAGCGUUGGAGGAUGUCUUGGAAAUCGAGGGUCUGGUCUUGCUGUGCCGCUGAAGCCAUGAUGGGGAUGAGGCGGUCGGAGAGUUCGGCAUCCACCACGUGUUCAACGAACUUGCGGAGAGACUUUGUGUUGAAUUCGUGGCUGGCGACUUGCCUUUGGAACUUCCACGUGUUUCCGUCGGCGUUGAAGAUUCCGGUGCCGAGGAAAUCGGAGAGGGUGCUGAUGAAGGAAUAGCCCUUUUGGUAGUUGGAGAAGCGGGUCUUGAGAAUGUGCUCCACGGUGGCGGGGUUUCCAGUGAAAACUUGGAGGCGGCCCAGUGGGCGACGGAAGGUGAAUGUGUUGGCGGGUGAGAUUUGGACUACAUCGGAUAGCCACUGAAUACGGCGGUUGCCGAUGCGUUUGAGGGCAAGGUAGGAGCCAAUGAGUGGGUAUGAUUUGGGGAUAGUAACGGUUUGUUUGGUUGGAGCAGCCUCUUUUUUGUUGAAAAGUGAGGAGUAGAAGAAGAAGAAGAUGAGGGGAAGGAUGAGGGAGAGGAAGAGGAAGACAGGAGCUAUGAGUUCCAGACUCAGAGGAUUCUCAAUCAUUUUCGUAUGUGUUGUAACUGCGAAAUUUGAAUAUGGUAUGAACUUUUUAGAGUGUGUAUGAGAUAGAUCUUGAGUUGUAAUUUGUUGGAUAUGUUGGUGUUGAAGUAAGACUUGUGUGUAUAUAUAGUGAAUGAUGUGUUGAACAAGGAAAGAGGAAGGCGUGGAGAAAAUGUAAUGAACAUGAUGUCCUCAUGGCUGAUGUCUGCAUUUUGUCUGCUUUCGGAUAUUUCAUUGCACCAACUGCUUGGCUUCAAAACUUCUGGUUUCAGUAUCCAAUCAUGUUUUCUACUAAAUUAUCAAAUUUUAACUUGAAUCCUUGAAAAAAUAUCUGUGUACAUUAUUAUGUUUAUUCUUUAAUGGAUAUUGAGAAAAUUUUAGCAUGUGUUUCUUUUUAUUUUUUUAACUUAUUAUUUUGCUCUAUAAUUUUGACCUAUUUUGUUUGUAGAAAUAAUAUUUGUAGAAUUAAUAAAAGGAAUAAAACAUGUUGUUUCUUUACCUUCUGCACAGUGUGAAACGAAUUUUAAUUUAAUAAAUAUUAAUAUAGUAUAAUUAAGAAAGAUAAUAUCAUAAACUUAAACUAAAGAAUUAAUUUAUGAAGUAACUAAUUUAAAAGAAAUUAUUAUACGCUAAAAAAUAAUCGAUAAUAUAUUGGAAUAUUGAAAGUUAUUUAAGCUUACCUAUUCUAAACCAGUUUGCACAUUUGGGUUUGAAGAAUGAGGGGAUGGAUGUUAUUUUUCCUAUUUUAUUAAAAAAAUGUUGUUAAAAUAUUAGACUUUUCUUACCUUUCUCUUUUAGCGUUUUCGGGUUUGACCAGAGACAUUAGGCGUAAGCAAAAUCGUCACUUUUUACGUUUCUUCUUAAUGUGAUUUUUGUCUGUCAUUAAAGUUUGAAAAGAAUGGCUACACCAAAAACCAAACAUUUCUUUGCGUAAGCAAAAUCGUCACCUUUUAUGUUUCCUUUUAGCGUACCAUAUCUCUCAGAUACUCGAUUCCUUCUUCAAUUUUGAUGUUGUAUCACAGAUUAUAUAAGUUUGUAUAUAUGAAAAAAAUUGUAUCUUUUAACAAUUUUUUUCACAACUUUUUAUAUUAGUUUAUAUAACAUUUUGUGAUGGGUCUUUUUUAAAUAUAUGAAUGAAUAAAAUAAUAAAACAUAAUCUUUGUGCAUCUCUUUAACUUUUUUUAUCUCCAAACUUACAAAUUUGUUUUUUUAAUUAAAGAAAAGGUGCACCUCGAAUUUGAUAAAGAAAAAAAAAAUAAACAAUUUUUUUUACCAAACAUACGUGAUGGAGCCGGUAUAUUGAAAGUUUGAAGUUGUUGUCUUUAAAGCAACCAAAUUCUUUUCUUCUGCAUUUAAUGGUGACACUUUACUUAAUUUUUCUUGGGGUUUGUUUUAGUAUUUCCCGGAGUUUUAACCUCCAAAAAACACCUUUUUUGCAAUUCAGAAAACUACUAGAAAAACCAUCGUCACAAAAUUACCGGCAGAAUUAACCAGAGUUUUCGAAAAAUCACCCAUAUUUAUAGGGGUUUCAGUAAAACCGUCGGAAAUAAUUGGGGUUAUGCUGAAACGCCUCUAUUUCUAGGAGUUUCUGUAAAACUGUCGGAACUAAUCGGAGUUAUGCUGAACCGCCUCUAUUUCCAGGGAUUUCUACAUGCUAAGUGAAAAUUACUCAACACAAGUGGCAUAUAACUUAUUUGCAAAAUUGCUUUAGAUAUACUUCGAAUUGAAAAAGUAGAAGAGCAUAAACAUAAAAAUCACGAACCUGAAGGAGGUGAUCUUUAGAAACGAUGAAGGCUAGGUUAGAGUGAAAAAUGAAGAUAUAGUAAAGUCACCACAGUUGUAAAAUGAACAUUGUAUUAGAAUUUUAGUGAUAAAAAUGAAGAUUAGGUUAGAGUAAAAGAGGAAGGAGAGGAACUAGGAAGUAUUAGGAAUGGAGGCUCAAGCAAGAGAAAAAGAACGAGAGAAUAAUCUGAUUGAAGAGAUAAGAUGAACAUACUACGGAGACGAAAGUGAUAAAAAUUGCCUUAGCAAAGUUCUCGCCGCCUCGACCACGACGCUCAGCCAAGCAAGGGAAGACACAAAACAGAACGAAACACGAACACACAACAAGAAAGAUCGUGGGCAAGCCUGUGUAGCAGAAGAAAUGAGACUACUUAAGAGAAAAGGGAUUAGGGCAAAAUCAGAAAUGAAGGUGCGGGAGCUUUUCUAAUAUUAAGGACCGCCGGAAAUUUUUAGAAAAAAAAAGGUUUAAACCCUUUUUUGGUCCCUAAGUUAAGUUAUGAUGUUCAGUUUAGUCCCCGCUUUUAAAAAUGUCAACCUUUAGUCCCUAUGAUAUGAAAAAUGUAUCAAAUCAGUCCUCAUGACAACACUUAAUGAACAAUAAAUCACAAGUUUUCAUAUCUAGGUAUCCAAUAUUUUGUGAUUUGUUACUGGAAGGUGUUAUGAACAGCAAAUCACUUAAUGAAAAACUUGUGAUUUGUUAACGAAUAGGACUAAUUUGAUAUAUUUUUCAUAUCAUAGGGACUAAAUGUUGACAUUUUUAAAAGCGGGGACUAAACUGAACAUCAUAACUUAACUUAGGGACCAAAAAAGGGUUUAAACAAAAAAAAAAGGUACCUGCAGGUUAGGCACAAAUCGCCGGAAUGUAUUGAAGUUUUCCAAAACUGCAGAAAAGAAACCCCUCCUAAAAUUCAUAAUUUUUGUAGUGUUAUAUGAUUAAUUGAUGACAAAAUCUGUUUUGUUAAUAAUUUUAAUAUUUUUAAACUUAUUUAUUUUAUUCUCAUUUUUUAUUUAUUAUUUAAUGUAUAAUAUGUGUUAUUACUAUUAAUAAUAUUAUUAGUAUAGUGAGGAAUAUUGAGCAAUAAAUAUAUUUAUUGUAUAGGUUGUGAUUAAUAUUAUAAAAUGAAUCAUUAUUCAUUUCAUUUAAUGGAUUCUCAAAUAAAUUCGAGUUGUGUCCAAAUUUUCUUCUUUCAUAAAUGAAGUGUUUGAAGUUGAAUAUACAAAUAAUUUUACCAUCAAUCAAAUAUUCUCAUCAUACCAUGAUUUAAUUGAAUGAGUUUGAAAGAUCGCAUUCAAUAUUGGAUUUGUUGUGGUUACAAUAAGAGUUGACACAACAGCUAGUGAACUUGGAAGAAAGACAUUUGUUUUGUCAGGUUGUGAAAUCAGUGGGAAGUACAUGAAAUAUAAACAUGAUGUUCAACCGAGUGUAUCUGGGACAAGAAAAUAUGAGUGUCCCUUUAAGUUGAGGGACAAAUCCUAUUCUAAUGGAGAGGAUUGGAUGUUGAAGGUAAUACCAAUAUCACAAAUAUGAAUUAACUAAGACUUUAGUUUGUCAUCCUUUUGUCAGCAUGUGAAAUGUUGCUUAAUAGUCAUUACUUGUUGACAUGACUAAGAGUCAAGUACUUCAAAUAUUUUAUUGACUCUCAAAGAAUAUAAUGAUUCUAAUGUGAGAAUAAUAAAACAAAUAUAUAACGCAAGGUUCACAUAAAAACAAUCUUUGAGAGGGUCGAGAGCUAAAAUGAAACAAUUGAUGAUGAUGUUAGAUCGAGAUAAAUACAUCUAAUGGAGUGAAUGUGUGUACGAUUCUGACAUGGUAAGUGACAUUUUCUAGACACAUCCUGAUGUAGUGUACCUUUUGAAUGCAUUUAAUAUUGUUUUCUUGAUGGAUACCAUGUACAAGACAAACAAUUAUCGCCUCCCCCUUCUUGAGAUAGUCGACUUCACAUUUAUACAGUUGACCUUAUCAACUGCCUUUGCAUUGUUAUCAAGUGAACACAAUAAUAAUUUAACUUGCGCAUUGGAAAGGUUUAGGGGUUUAUUUAUAACAUAUGAGGGCAGUCCACACGUGAUUAUUACUGAUAGAGACCUUGCUUUGAUUAACAAUGUAUAUCAUGAGACUAUCAAAUGUUUUGUAAGUUUCAUAUCUUGAAAAAUGUGAAAUCCAAAUAAAAAAUGUUAGUGGAUUUUGUUGAGGCAUGAGAUGUGUUGAUGGAAGCAUGAAAAAAUGUGAUGGAUUGUGAGGAAGAGUCCAUGUUUAGUGCUUAUGUUGAUUGUCUUCAGUAUGCUUCUACUGCAUGACCUUUAUUUUUUUUAAUAUGUUAAUCACAAUUGGAUCAAUCUAUGUAAGACAUACUUCAUUAAGGCAUAAUGAACAUAAUUAUGCAUCUAGGUAACACAACAACAAAGAGAUAAUUGUUAUUAUAUUUUUUUUUACUUAUUUAUGCUAUGUGUUAUGAUAUUAUUAGUUUCGUUAGUAACAAGGUUGAGUCUGCGCAUUAGAACUUGAAUAUUGGGGACCAAUAUGAGAUAUUUAUAUUCGUAUUAGGAUGAUAUUCAUAACAUCGUUGUCGUCUAACAUAAUAAGAUAAAGACAUUGUUUGAAAAAUGGUCUUAACCUCAUGAGUGAAACUUAUAAAGGAUUAAGAUAUAAAAGAUUUGUUGGGUGCAUUUUGAUAUAUGUUUUGGGACUCAUUAUUGACGAAUUUGAAUGAGUGAAACAUAUAGGAUUGGACAGUAGACGUUGUCGAUGCGUUCUAAGAUCAACUUAUGGUCUACCAUGUGUUUGUCGAUGCGUUCCUCUAGAUGAAAUUCAUGUGAUGUGGAUCAGAUUGAGCUUUUCAAGUAUUGUGUCAAUUGAAUCACAUCUAGAGUUAUGCAUUGAGCAUGAACUUGAUAUGGUUCAGGAACGUUUCAAGAAGGCUGACAUUGGAGAAAAUGUCAACAUCAAUCAGAAGUUAGUUGAAAUAGCUUGUCCUAUAAUGACAUCUAUGGUACCUCCUUCACAUAAAGUGAAAAUCAAAGGUGCACAAAAGGCUAAACUUCAACGAAACGAAAGGUCUACGAAGGGUGACCCAUCAUAUUUUGAGCACGUAGUAACCUUGUAUUCGAUGAUAGAGUCUUCAUCACCAAAAGUACAAGUCAAAUCCAAGGCUAAAUCGAUUCAAUGAAAGAAAGUACUAAUGUUAGAUUAGUUCCAUCCGAUUUGUCAUCCUUAGAUUGUCGAUGUUGUUGAGGUUGUAGUCGAUGGUCAUUGUGGUUAUCAAUGCAUUACUGCUUUGUUUGGCCUAGGUGAAGAGGCAUGGCCAUUAUACGACCUGACCUGCUUGAAGAACUUACUAUGUGGCGUGAUGAAUACACAAGGUUUGUGGGAAGCUAUGAUCGAUUGGAACAACUAAGAUAACCUUUUAAUCAUAGAAUCACCCCAAUUUCACAUCAACCACUAUAGAAUUGACGCAACCAAACAAACAACAUUAUAGUUUCAACAUUUUAGAAACAACAUGGGAAUUGUCGUGAUAGUACCUCAAUCACAGAAAUCCAUUUUCUCUUUUCACCAAAUAAAAAAAAAGAGUUUAACAUCCCUUUACCAUGGUUUAUCCGUGCUAAUCUUCCUCUCACGAGUAAGUUCACUACACUAGACCAUAACUCCUCCUAGUCUUGCGUUUUUGCUCCAGAGAAGUUCACACAUAACCUCCUUUCUCCAACCACAAACCCUCUAUCACAACACUUAUUGCUUGAUCUUUUUCUCCCCUUAGGCUUUCGUUACUUAUCCAUUUAUAAAAGCUAUCUGUAACCUUCAUUCCCCCCAGAAAAUCCUGUGAAAAAUAAAACCCUCCUAGGUGCUUAGCAUAAGCUCAAACCCCUUUCUUUUUUAUCCCAACACACAACUUAACCAUCAAGUUAUGAUGAUUUGUUUUGAUUAUAAUAUCUAUCAUAAUAUAUAUCCAUAUAAGUACCACAUGUGUCAAUAAAAGCAUAAUUAAACAAAUAAAACACUUUAUCCAUCAAUUAGGAUUUGAAUACCAAACUACUAACCCAACAAAGAGCUCUCACUAACUGAACUACACAACACUUGUGAGAAGCAUGGAACCUUUCUUAUAAAUAAAUAUAGGCUACCUUACAAACUCACUUUUAAACAUUGUUUUUUCUCAUAUCUUACAUCAGCCAUUGUUUGUAGUCAAUCCAGGGUGGCAAUAGUUUUUUUAAUUAGAAGUUCUGAAACAAACUCAUCGGAUAGCAUUGUGUUCUUUACUUUGAUGUCUUCAAGUAGUUUAUGGUACUCGUUAAUUCUGAUAUUUUUUAUUAUAAUAUCUAUCAUAACAUAUAUCCAUAUAAGUACCACAUCUGUCAAUAAAAGCAUAAUUAAACAAAUAAAACACUUUAUGCAUCAAUUAGGAUUUGAAUACCAAAGUACUAACCCAACAAAGAGCUCUCACUAACUGAACUACACAACACUUGUGAGAUGCAUGGAACCUUUCUUAUAAAUAAAUAUAGGCUACCUUACAAACUCACUUUUAAACAUUGUUUUUUCUCAGAUCUUACAUCAGCCAUUGUUUGUAGUCAAUCCAAGAUGGCAAUAGUUUUUUUAAUUAGAAGUUCUGAAACGAACUCAUCAGGUAGCAUUAUGUUCUUUACUUUGAUGUCUUCAAGUAGUUUAUGGUGCUCGUUGAUUCUGAUCUUGAUGUCGUUAUCUUCCAUUGUCUUCCAGCGGUAAAAAUUUCCUAUGACGAAUCUUUGUUCGAUAACAUCUUAAACGACAUAUUUUAAAAUCAACAAAAACCCAAAUUUGAUGAAUCAAAACAUUGUUUUAGAAAUUCAGACAUUUUUUGCGAAAUUGUUCCUGAACACGUCGAAAUUCGAGGUCUUCUUUUAGAAAUUUCUUUAGUCUAUGAUGCAUGACUAAAAUAGUUAUUGUAUCCUCUUACAAAUUACUUUAGUCUUAUGAUGUAUCGAUACUUCAAUUUGAGAUACUUUACCUACAUUUAUCAAUAAAAUAUCUAAUAUAUAAAGUAGUAGUACUUUUAUGAUGACAAUAUUAAUAAUUUUUUAUGUUGACAACUUUAGUACAUAUAAUUUUAAUAUAGAUUUAUAUCAUAAUAAUCAUAUAUGUAUGGUGUUUUUAAGAAUUAUUUACAUUUUUCAAUAUGCACAUAUCACAUAUCGUAUUUUACUAUGUUUAAAUUUAUGAAUAAUGUCAAUAUAUAAGUAUUGGAAAUUAUGUUUAGAUGAGGAUACUUAAAAAGUACAAAAUCGUAUGCAUGAGUUUUUAACCAUCAUUACAAGUUACUAAGAGAAAAUAACAUGAUAUAAAUCCAUACGAAAUAAAACUAUUCAGAUUGUGACAUCUAUUAUUUCGGUAAAUAAGUAGAAUAAAAAGUAUUUACAAAUAUCAAGAAAGGUAAAUCAAUUGUUCUUAUCUUUAAAAUGACAUAAAAUCAUCUAUAGGACAAUAAUAAUAUGUUAUUAAAAGAUUAUUUUGAUAAUUUUUUUAUAAUAUUUUAACAUAAUAUACGUGUCAAGAUUUAAAAUAUGUGAAACACAGUAACAAAUAAAUAAUGAAUUAGGAAGAAAAAAUAUAUAUACAGUAUCAAAAUUCCUACCAUACAACUAACACAUUGAAUCUUCUCAUUAAGAAUUCUGAGAAACUUUUGAUCGAAUAUUUUUGGGUCCAUCAUAGAACUAGUGAAAUUAUUUCUAUAACAUGCAAAUUCCUUGAUUAUCUAAAUAUGUUCGAGACAUAAUAUUUGAUUAUAAUAUUUAGGUUUCUUAUUUUUAGAUUAUUAUUUUUAUUUCUAAUUUAGUACUUUCAACACGUCCUACGAGUAAGAAUUCUCUAUGUGCUAUCCUAUCACUCAAAUGCAGACUGAGAUUGUCGUUCCAUUCCAAUUAUUAUUAGUUUCAUGGACGUGUGCAGCAAUCAUAUAUAUUAGUUUGGGCGCUUGAUACAUUUUUAUCUUUGUGUAAGAGACUGGGUCAAUUGAUCUUGUUGGAAGCUCUAAUACAAAUUUCCUUAUUCGGAUGGAUUGUAGAAUUAUCAACACCAGCUCCUGUUACUCUACUUCUUUGUGUUGCUUCCAUGGAGGCUUUACGAUGAUAUCUAGACGAAGUAUUCAAUCAAGCAUACUUCUGUCCACUUCUGAUAUACUCGAGGCAUACGCACACGAUUCAAGUGAGGAACAAGCAUUUAUAGAAAAUGUGACACUGCUCUUCACAUCAAUUUUCAAGGUUCCUAUUAGGAUUCUUGAGCAAUAUAUCUGCUUUUCUAUUAGGCAUUUAUCGUAUGUGGUUGAUAAUUAAUGAGGUUUUUAAGGUCUUUUUGGAUUGCUGGAAUAUGGUAGUUGUAGAAUUCUUUAAGGCACAUUUUAGUUUGGAGAACCUUGCAGAAACAACAAGCAUUAUGGGACUUCGGGUGCCUCGUAUGGUUGACUGCAUUGAUUCACAACUUCUUUAGCGCCAGCAAGGUUAUGUUGGUCCUGUGUCAAAGUUGAGAAUGUUUAUGAUCUGUUGCAUGACAAAAAAAUGUUCCCGUGGAAGAUGAAAAUGGGAAUAUAGUUAGGGAAACAAUGACAGAUAAUGAUUUUCUUGCCAAUACUCUUUUCAACUGCUUCCAAUUUUCAACAACAUCUCACACUUGUGGAAACCAAAGAAAGUCAUAAUCUAAGUACUCCAAUUAUUAUAAUUGAGUUUCUUUGUUAGUUGGGAGAGAUAGUUUCCAGGGUUCACCAUCUCAAUCAAACUCUAACUCAAAUUUUCUCAAGCAACACUUAAGCUAAGUAACUCUUCAUAUAAUUUUUUUUAACUAAAACUCUUCUAUAUAAACUGAUUUACUUUGUCUAUAUAUUUCAUGUGUCAUAUGGUCGUUACAAAGAUAAACAUUUGACUUUUCAUUUUCAAAUCAUAAUUUCUUUAAUUAUUAAAAGAAAAAAGUACUAUAAUAAUCAUUAAUAUUCAAAACAUAACAUGCUAUCCACUUCACUUCUGCUUUUUUUUUUAAAACAUUAAAAUAUUACUGUUUUUUAACCCUAAAUUUAAGUCUAUCUUAACAUUUUCAGUAUUUGUCGUGAACAAGUUGUUUGAGAUUAUGCUUGAGACACAUCUAGGAAUUCGGGAUAUGGCCUUCGGUACAUGUUUUAGAAUAGUUCAGAAGGGCAAGUGUAAAUUUGUAAUCACCCAGAAUUGUAGAAAACGGGCCAUUUGUUUCUGAACUUUUUACUAAUAUUCCAAAUACAUUUGCAGAUCUGGAACCCCAUCAAAUAUACUCGUUCUAUGAAUCUGUUGGUUACCUGAUUCACGAAGACUCAAAUGUCCAGAAAGAGAGUGAAUAUCUUCAAAAGUUUAUGGUUGUGCUGAAUCAGAGAUGGAUGGAAAUUAUUGAGAAAACACACAGAUGUCAAGCUUUAAUUAUUCCCGUAGGAUCUAAAAGAUUGAAGGAGGAAAGAAAGAGACGACAGUGCUGGUGGAAAGAGGUUUAUGGGAGAGAUACAAUACUAAUAUAAAAUCUGAACCCAACGGAUUUAUACUGUCUUUUACUUUUAUAUAAUACUUUUUCAUAUUUUUAUGACAUGAAGACUUAGAAUUACAUUUGAAUUCCAAACAAGUGCUCCAUCAUUCUAGGUUAACCCACUUUUGUCCACAAUGCCACAAGCUUAUUAUGUCUGGAGGAUAAUCUUAAUGUUUGGUGCACUCCCAGCUGUGAUCACAUAUUUGCACAUGAAAAUGUUCAAGACCAAGCAAGCUAUGCAAAGAUGUUUUUGGAAGUUGACACUGACAGGGAUGAGAAGAAAUGGUUGAUGUUGCUCGAUAGAAGAGGACUAGUGGGAAGAUUUCAGAAUGCGUUAAGUGUUUCUACAUAGGUAAUAAAGUUAAAAAUGUGAAUGGUAGUAGUGGGCAGAAGAAGAUUGAGGCAGAGUCGAAAACAAUUAUGGGUUCUUUAUUAUCUAAGCCGCUGAGGCGGUGGACUCGAUCACAGCCAAACAUGACAGAAAAAGAAGAUUCUCCAUUUUCCAAUGACAAUUGAGUUUUGGUUCAUGUUAUUAACACGUGCAUCACUUGGAUGGCUGGAUCAAGCACCUGGUUCCUCGAGAAAUUGAAACACAGGGACGGAACAUGGCCUUUUAAUUGCAAUGCGAGGUAUAUUUGUGAGAGACAAAGGGAGAUGGAAAACUUUUGAAUUUACUAUGUGUAAGAACAAAGUUACUAGUCAGGAUGUGCCUAAUAUAUAUAUAUAUAUAUAUAUAUAUAUAUAUAUAUAUAUAUAUAUAUAUAUAUAUAUAUAUAUAUAUAUAUAUAUAUAUAUAUAUAUCAUGGUUUUAAUACAUAAGGUAAGUCUGACGUGGUCUAAAUGCAUCAAAAUCAAAUUCCACUUCACUCGUCUUUCCCCAAACGAUUAUUCAUAUUCAUAUUAUAAAGAAACACAAACAACUAAAACUCAAAGCUCAAACUCAAAUCCCAAACAUAGUACUAGUAACACCAAUGACGUGGUCUAAAUGCAAGAACUUCGGUAUUAAUUUGAGGUUUCCUUCUCUAUGAUCUUCACAGGAAAACCACCACCCAUCUGGGCGGACAGGAAAGAAAUGAAGUUCAGCUCCACCCCUUCAGCCACCGUGGGAACAACCGCGAACCGCCGAAGAAUCCCAGCCACCACACUCUGCAUCUGCAUAAAAGCCAUAUCCUUCCCCAAACACAUUCUGGGACCAGCUUGAAACACAGGAUAUGUGAAAGAAUCUUUUGGCACAAACUUCCACUUUCCGGAUUCAACCUUCUGCAACCACCUCUCUGGCUUAAACUCCGCCCAAUCCUCACCCCAAAUACUCUCCAACCUCCCCAUGGCGUANACGUGAUAAGUCACCAGCGNCCCCUUCUUCACCACCGUCCCNUCCGGCAAGACGUCGUCCUCCACUGCUUCCUUGGUGUCCAUGGGCACAGGCGGGUACAGCCUCAUGCUCUCGCAUAACGCUGCAUGCGUGUAAACCAUAUGCUUCACUUCAUCGUAGACCGGAGCCUCCGAUUUCUCCAUUAUCUCCUUCACAAUCUCCU